UGGGGAAUUUUGGACAAUGGGCGCAAGCCUGGUCCAGCAAUGCCGCGUGCAGGAUGAAGGCCUUCGGGUUGUAACUGCUUUUGUACGGAACGAAACGGCUCUGUCUAAUACAUGGGGCUAAUGACGGUACCGUAAGAAUAAGCACCGGCUAACUACGUGCCAGCAGCCGCGGUAAUACGUAGGGUGCGAGCGUUAAUCGGAAUUACUGGGCGUAAAGCGUGCGCAGGCGGUUAUAUAAGACAGAUGUGAAAUCCCCGGGCUCAACCUGGGACCUGCAUUUGUGACUGUAUAGCUAGAGUACGGUAGAGGGGGAUGGAAUUCCGCGUGUAGCAGUGAAAUGCGUAGAUAUGCGGAGGAACACCGAUGGCGAAGGCAAUCCCCUGGACCUGUACUGACGCUCAUGCACGAAAGCGUGGGGAGCAAACA
rnacentral:rRNA from 1 species